rnacentral:lncRNA from 1 species
GGACAAGGCGGGGACCCGGGCGGGGACCGGGGCGGGGGCGCGCGGGGGCCGGGGUGGGGGUGUCUCGCCGCGCGCGCCCUCCUCCCGCUCCUCCGGGUUCCUGGUCCCCAGCCUGUGGGGGGCUUGGGCUGUAGCGCUGGGGCGGGGGCUUUAGAUCACCCCGAAAACAGGACCUCUGGCGACCUUCUCGUUUUCCACCGGGAGCGGAGAGAGCCGAUCUCCUUUUCCUGCUAGCCCCGUAGGACAGUCCCCGGAGCAGCUCAUAGGAAUAUGACGAACGUUUACUCAGGGCUGGUUACUAUGUACACUGCGCCCCGCGCGCGGCGAGUUUACCUCGGUUCACCUCCCGGCAACCGGCGGCCCGGAUAUUAUCAGAUGCUGUGGGCUUCCCGGCGCCUCAUUGCCCGAGGAGAGGCGGCCGCAGACCUACUCUCCACCCUUUUCCUUCCUGAUUUGAACCUCAAGAGGCCAACCUGCAUGGACUGCUUCCACAGAUCCCUUGUCCUCUGACUUACAGUUGAAUUCACCAAAUAGAAGACAUUGGAAAUGAGACCCGAGGGUUGGAGGAGGAGGAAGCCUGCAAUGUGAACACGAUGGCUGGAGCUCCGGCAGCCAUUCUGGACCAGGAGGUAGCCUUGAAGAUGGAAGCCACAUGUUGGGAUGGUGAAUCCAAAAGAUGAGGAGCCUGUAUCCCCUGUGACACCAGAACUGCCAUACCAGCCCUGGGUUCCUCCAUCUAUACUGCCUUCAUAUGGUAAAGAAAUAUUCUUGGAUCUUGUUAGGUGUCUGUUGCAGCCAAACACAAUCCCAACUGAUAUUCACUGUAAAUGAUUCCAUGGCUCCCUGUAGUACUUCUACAAAGCAUCUAUCACAAUUGUAAUUAAUAAAAUAAUUAUGCAAUUACUGGUUUAAUGCCUAAGUCCCAAGUAGAAUAUCAGUUCCAUGGGGGCAGGGAUUAGUCUGUUCAUGGAUGUAUUCCCAGCUCCUGUAACAACAUCUGGUUCUGGUAGGUGGUAAGUGCACAAUAAAUGUA